GGUUAAGCGACUAAGCGUACACGGUGGAUGCCCUGGCAGUCAGAGGCGAUGAAGGACGUGCUAAUCUGCGAAAAGCGUCGGUAAGGUGAUAUGAACCGUUAUAACCGGCGAUGUCCGAAUGGGGAAACCCAGUGUGAUUCGUCACACUAUCGUUAACUGAAUACAUAGGUUAACGAGGCGAACCGGGGGAACUGAAACAUCUAAGUACCCCGAGGAAAAGAAAUCAACCGAGAUUCCCCCAGUAGCGGCGAGCGAACGGGGAGCAGCCCAGAGUCUGAAUCAGCUUGUGUGUUAGUGGAACGGUCUGGAAAGUCCGACGGUACAGGGUGAUAGUCCCGUACACCAAAAUGCACAGGCUGUGAACUCGAAGAGUAGGGCGGGACACGUGGUAUCCUGUCUGAAUAUGGGGGGACCAUCCUCCAAGGCUAAAUACUCCUGACUGACCGAUAGUGAACCAGUACCGUGAGGGAAAGGCGAAAAGAACCCCGGCGAGGGGAGUGAAAAAGAACCUGAAACCGUGUACGUACAAGCAGUGGGAGCACCUUCGGGUGUGACUGCGUACCUUUUGUAUAAUGGGUCAGCGACUUAUAUUCUGUAGCAAGGUUAACCGUAUAGGGGAGCCGCAGGGAAACCGAGUCUUAACUGGGCGUUAAGUUGCAGGGUAUAGACCCGAAACCCGGUGAUCUAGCCAUGGGCAGGUUGAAGGUUGGGUAACACUAACUGGAGGACCGAACCGACUAAUGUUGAAAAAUUAGCGGAUGACUUGUGGCUGGGGGUGAAAGGCCAAUCAAACCGGGAGAUAGCUGGUUCUCCCCGAAAGCUAUUUAGGUAGCGCCUCGUGAAUUCAUCUUCGGGGGUAGAGCACUGUUUCGGCUAGGGGGUCAUCCCGACUUACCAACCCGAUGCAAACUACGAAUACCGAAGAAUGUUAUCACGGGAGACACACGGCGGGUGCUAACGUCCGUCGUGAAGAGGGAAACAACCCAGACCGCCAGCUAAGGUCCCAAAGUCAUGGUUAAGUGGGAAACGAUGUGGGAAGGCACAGACAGCCAGGAUGUUGGCUUAGAAGCAGCCAUCAUUUAAAGAAAGCGUAAUAGCUCACUGGUCGAGUCGGCCUGCGCGGAAGAUGUAACGGGGCUAAACCAUGCACCGAAGCUGCGGCAGCGACACUAUGUGUUGUUGGGUAGGGGAGCGUUCUGUAAGCCUGCGAAGGUGACCUGUGAGGGUUGCUGGAGGUAUCAGAAGUGCGAAUGCUGACAUAAGUAACGAUAAAGCGGGUGAAAAGCCCGCUCGCCGGAAGACCAAGGGUUCCUGUCCAACGUUAAUCGGGGCAGGGUGAGUCGACCCCUAAGGCGAGGCCGAAAGGCGUAGUCGAUGGGAAACAGGUUAAUAUUCCUGUACUUGGUGUUACUGCGAAGGGGGGACGGAGAAGGCUAUGUUAGCCGGGCGACGGUUGUCCCGGUUUAAGCAUGUAGGCUGAUUGUCCAGGCAAAUCCGGAUAAUCAAGGCUGAGGUGUGAUGACGAGGCACUACGGUGCUGAAGUAACAAAUGCCCUGCUUCCAGGAAAAGCCUCUAAGCAUCAGGUAACAUCAAAUCGUACCCCAAACCGACACAGGUGGUCAGGUAGAGAAUACCAAGGCGCUUGAGAGAACUCGGGUGAAGGAACUAGGCAAAAUGGUGCCGUAACUUCGGGAGAAGGCACGCUGGUGUGUAGGUGAAGUCCCUGCGGAUGGAGCUGAGACCAGUCGAAGAUACCAGCUGGCUGCAACUGUUUAUUAAAAACACAGCACUGUGCAAACACGAAAGUGGACGUAUACGGUGUGACGCCUGCCCGGUGCCGGAAGGUUAAUUGAUGGGGUUAUCCGUAAGGAGAAGCUCUUGAUCGAAGCCCCGGUAAACGGCGGCCGUAACUAUAACGGUCCUAAGGUAGCGAAAUUCCUUGUCGGGUAAGUUCCGACCUGCACGAAUGGCGUAAUGAUGGCCAGGCUGUCUCCACCCGAGACUCAGUGAAAUUGAACUCGCUGUGAAGAUGCAGUGUACCCGCGGCAAGACGGAAAGACCCCGUGAACCUUUACUAUAGCUUGACACUGAACAUUGAGCCUUGAUGUGUAGGAUAGGUGGGAGGCUUUGAAGCGUGGACGCCAGUCUGCGUGGAGCCAACCUUGAAAUACCACCCUUUAAUGUUUGAUGUUCUAACGUUGGCCCCUUACCGGGGUUGCGGACAGUGUCUGGUGGGUAGUUUGACUGGGGCGGUCUCCUCCCAAAGCGUAACGGAGGAGCACGAAGGUUAGCUAAUCCUGGUCGGACAUCAGGAGGUUAGUGCAAUGGCAUAAGCUAGCUUGACUGCGAGCGUGACGGCGCGAGCAGGUGCGAAAGCAGGUCAUAGUGAUCCGGUGGUUCUGAAUGGAAGGGCCAUCGCUCAACGGAUAAAAGGUACUCCGGGGAUAACAGGCUGAUACCGCCCAAGAGUUCAUAUCGACGGCGGUGUUUGGCACCUCGAUGUCGGCUCAUCACAUCCUGGGGCUGAAGUAGGUCCCAAGGGUAUGGCUGUUCGCCAUUUAAAGUGGUACGCGAGCUGGGUUUAGAACGUCGUGAGACAGUUCGGUCCCUAUCUGCCGUGGGCGCUGGAGAAUUGAGGGGGCUGCUCCUAGUACGAGAGGACCGGAGUGGACGCAUCACUGGUGUUCGGGUUGUCAUGCCAAUGGCACUGCCCGGUAGCUAAAUGCGGAAGAGAUAAGUGCUGAAAGCAUCUAAGCACGAAACUUGCCCCGAGAUGAGUUCUCCCUGAGACUUUAAGUCUCCUGAAGGAACGUUGAAGACGACGACGUUGAUAGGCCGGGUGUGUAAGCGCAGCGAUGCGUUGAGCUAACCGGUACUAAUGAACCGUGAGGCUUAACCUU
rnacentral:rRNA from 1 species